rnacentral:rRNA from 1 species
UACGUAGGGUGCAAGCGUUGUCCGGAAUUAUUGGGCGUAAAGGGCUCGUAGGCGGUCUGUCGCGUCGGCUGUGAAAUCCCGGAGCUCAACUCCGAGCUUGCAGUCGAUACGGGCAGGCUAGAGUUCGGCAGGGGAGACUGGAAUUCCUGGUGUAGCGGUGAAAUGCGCAGAUAUCAGGAGGAACACCGGUGGCGAAGGCGGGUCUCUGGGCCGAUACUGACACUGAGGAGCGAAAGCGUGGGGAGCGAACAGG